rnacentral:rRNA from 1 species
GGUCAAGUAAUGAAGCGCACAUGGUGGAUGCCUUGGCAGUCAGAGGCGAUGAAAGACNAAUGGGGAAACCCACCUACCAUAAGGUAGGUAUCCUAAUUUAUUAGGAAGCGAACGAGGGGAAGUGAAACAUCUCAGUACCCUUAGGAAUAGACAUCAAAUGAGAUUCCCCUAGUAGCGGCGAGCGAACGGGGAGAAGCCGAUUAAUGCUAAUGUAGAAGAACAGCGUGGGAAAGCUGACCGUAGUAGGUGAUAGUCCUGUAUUCGAAACAUUAGCGUUAACAUAUUAAGUAGAGCGGGGCACGAGAAAUCCUGUUUGAAGAUGGGGGGACCAUCCUCCAAGGCUAAAUACUCCUGACUGACCGAUAGUGAACCAGUACCGUGAGGGAAAGGCGAAAAGAACCCCUGUGAGGGGAGUGAAAUAGAACCUGAAACCGUGUGCGUACAAGCAGUAGGAGCCUCAAUUUAUUGGGGUGACUGCGUACCUUUUGUAUAAUGGGUCAGCGACUUAUAUUCUGUAGCAAGGUUAACCGUUUAGGGGAGCCGUAGGGAAACCGAGUCUUAAUAGGGCGUUUAGUUGCAGGGUAUAGACCCGAAACCGAGUGAUCUAUCCAUGAGCAGGUUGAAAGUGUCGUAACAGACACCGGAGGACCGAACCCACUGUCGUUGAAAAGCCAGGGGAUGACUUGUGGAUAGGGGUGAAAGGCUAAUCAAACUCGGUGAUAGCUGGUUCUCCCCGAAAGCUAUUUAGGUAGCGCCUCGGACGAACACCAUUGGGGGUAGAGCACUGUUUCGGCUAGGGGGUCAUACCGACUUACCAAACCGAUGCAAACUCCGAAUACCGAUGAGUGAUAUCCGGGAGACACACAGUGGGUGCUAACGUCCAUUGUGGAGAGGGAAACAACCCAGACCGCCAGCUAAGGCCCCAAAUUCCUAGUUAAGUGGGAAACGAGGUGGGAAGGCAUAGACAGCUAGGAGGUUGGCUUAGAAGCAGCCAUCCUUUAAAGAAAGCGUAAUAGCUCACUAGUCGAGUCGGCCCGCGCGGAAGAUGUAACGGGGCUCAAACUAGGAGCCGAAGCUGCGGAUUUGAAUUUGUUUUCAAGUGGUAGGGGAGCGUUGUGUAAGCCUGUGAAGGUGUGUCGUAAGGCAUGCUGGAGGUAUCACAAGAGCGAAUGCUGACGUGAGUAACGAUAAUGCGAGUGAAAAGCUCGCACGCCGGAAGAUCAAGGGUUCCAGUCCAACGUUAAUCGGGGCUGGGUGAGUCGACCCCUAAGGCGAGGCCGAAAGGCGUAGUCGAUGGGAAAUCAGUUAAUAUUCUGAUACUUGUUUAUAAUGCGAUGGAGGGACGGAGAAGGUUAUGUCAGCCUGGCGUUGGUUGUCCAGGUGAAAGGAUGUAGGCUUGUGGCUUAGGUAAAUCCGGGCUACUACAUGGCUGAGAUCUGAUAGCAAGCUGUACUUGUACAGUGAAGUGGCAAAUACCAUGCUUCCAGGAAAAGCUUCUAAGCAAUAGUUAUAAACGAAUCGUACCCUAAACCGACACAGGUGAUCAGGUAGAGAAUACCAAGGCGCUUGAGAGAACUCUGCUGAAGGAACUAGGCAAAAUGGUACCGUAACUUCGGGAGAAGGUACGCUGUUGGUGGUGAUAGGACACGCUCCUUGAGCUGCUGGCAGUCGCAGAUACCAGGCUGCUGCAACUGUUUAUUAAAAACACAGCACUCUGCAAACACGAAAGUGGACGUAUAGGGUGUGAUGUCUGCCCGGUGCUGGAAGGUUAAUUGAUGGGGUUAGCGUAAGCGAAGCUCUUGAUCGAAGCCCCAGUAAACGGCGGCCGUAACUAUAACGGUCCUAAGGUAGCGAAAUUCCUUGUCGGGUAAGUUCCGACCUGCACGAAUGACAUAAUGAUGGCAGCGCUGUCUCCAGCAGAGACUCAGUGAAAUCGAAAUCGCAGUGAAGAUGCUGUGUACCCGCGGCUAGACGGAAAGACCCCGUGAACCUUUACUACAGCUUUACAUUGAACUUUGACCUGACUUGUGCAGGAUAGGUGGGAGGCUUUGAAGCCAAGACGCUAGUCUUGGUGGAGCCAAUCUUGAAAUACCACCCUGGUCAUGUUGGGGUUCUAACUCAGGUAUAACAAUACCGAGGACAAUGUAUGGUGGGUAGUUUGACUGGGGCGGUCUCCUCCUAAAGAGUAACGGAGGAGUACGAAGGUGCGCUCAGACCGGUCGGAAAUCGGUCGUAGAG